rnacentral:ncRNA from 1 species
CUUGGGGUUGUAGGACACUCAAUACGGAGUGACAAAGGAACGGAGUAGAUGAAGCGGUCUGGAAAGGCCCGCCAGAGAAGGCAACAGCCCUGUAGUCGAAACUUCGUUCCCUCCUGAGUGGAUCCUGAGUACGGCGGGACACGAGGAAUCCCGUCGGAAGCAGGGAGGACCAUCUCCCAAGGCUAAAUACUCCCUAGUGACCGAUAGUGAACCAGUACCGUGAGGAAAGGUGAAAAGCACCCCGGGAGGGGAGUGAAAGAGAACCUGAAACCGUGUGCCUACAAGUAGUCAGAGCCCGUUUAUGGGUGAUGGCGUGCCUUUUGUAGAAUGAACCGGCGAGUUACGAUCUCGUGCGAGGUUAAGUCGAAAAGACGGAGCCGUAGCGAAAGCGAGUCUGAAUAGGGCGUAUAGUACGAGGUCGUAGACCCGAAACCAGGUGAUCUACCCAUGUCCAGGGUGAAGGUAGGGUAAUACCUACUGGAGGCCCGAACCCACGCACGUUGAAAAGUGCGGGGAUGAGGUGUGGGUAGGGGUGAAAUGCCAAUCGAACUUGGAGAUAGCUGGUUCUCCCCGAAAUAGCUUUAGGGCUAGCCUCGAGUGAAGAGUCUUGGAGGUAGAGCACUGAUUGGGCUAGGGGCCUCAUCGGGUUACCGAACUCAGUCAAACUCCGAAUGCCAAUGACUUAUACUCGGGAGUCAGACUACGAGUGAUAAGAUCCGUGGUCAAGAGGGAAACAGCCCAGAUCACCAGCUAAGGUCCCAAAGUAUACGUUAAGUGGAAAAGGAUGUGGAGUUGCUUAGACAACCAGGAUGUUGGCUUAGAAGCAGCCACCAUUUAAAGAGUGCGUAAUAGCUCACUGGUCGAGUGACUCUGCGCCGAAAAUGUACCGGGGCUAAACGUAUCACCGAAGCUGUGGGACGACUUGCGUCGUCGGUAGGGGAGCGUUCUAAGGGCGUCGAAGCUAGACCGGAAGGACUAGUGGAGCGCUUAGAAGUGAGAAUGCCGGUGUGAGUAGCGAAAACAGAGGUGAGAAUCCUCUGCACCGAAAGCCUAAGGUUUCCUGAGGAAGGCUCGUCCGCUCAGGGUUAGUCGGGACCUAAGCCGAGGCCGAAAGGCGUAGGCGAUGGACAACAGGUUGAUAUUCCUGUACCACCUCCUCACCGUUUGAGCAAUGGGGGGACGCAGGAGGAUAGGGUCAGCGCGCGACUGGUUGUGCGCGUCCAAGCAGUUAGGCGCCUCAAGUAGGCAAAUCCGCUUG